GGGCUCCGGGCGGCCGUGACCCUGCUGGAGUCCGGGGGGGACCUCAAGGCCCCCGGAGGGUCCCUGACUCUGCUCUGCCACGGAUCUGUAUUCGGUUUCGAGUAUUUUGACAUGUACUGGGUCCGGCAAAGACCUGGGGAGGCGCUGGAAUUCGUCGCAUGGAUCAGCUACAGUGGUGGCUACACCAACUACGCGCCGUUUGUCAAGGGUCGGUUCUCGAUCUCCAGGGACAACGGGCAGAGCUCGGUGACGCUGACCAUGAACAACCUCAAGGACGAGGAUUCCGGCGUUUAUUUCUGCGCCAAGAGUACUGCUGGUGCUAUUUUUGAUUACCGUGUUGACGGUUUCUGGUCUGUCCCCGUCACUCUCAACUUUCCCCCCAGUUGUUCCCAUUUCCCCCAAAUCUCCCCCGGCUCCCCCUCCCCUGACUGGCCGAGCUGA